CAGAAAUCUUGAAGGUUAGGACCACGCUAAGACCAACAGUUGGUAAUAUUCAAAUACUCUACAUUUGUUCGAGUGUUUGUGCACGUGCUUGUUUAUUAUGCUUAUUUCUGCCUAAGGCACGAUGUCUGCAAUUGGAAAUCAUAUCCAACUGUUGCAUAAUACACAUGGAUCUAUUUUAUGGUUUCCGUUUUAAGAAUCUCUGUCACCUAUGAUCUUAGAUGUGACUUGCAUGUUCAGUCAUUAUAGUGAAUAGGGGCAUGCUACAUAAUAUAUACUUAAUAUGCCCAAGUUUAGAGAUGAUAUGAUUCCCUCCAGGUGUGAGCAAAUUUAUCAUAGGAUUCGUUAGAGUCCCAGUUCAGUUGAAGUGAAAUUUUGUAAUAUUUUGGCUUCCCAACACUUUUAAAUUGAAACAAACAGAUUCUGAACAAUGGUAGUCUUAAAAGACCUUUAGGAAAAGCAUGAAAAAAAGGCUCGAAUGGUACUAUCCCUCCGUCACCCCCAAAAUGAAAGAGGUGCCUACACUUCUUUUUUUAUUUUUAGUUUAUUUAUUUGUUUUGUUUGGAAGUGUCUACAUUUUUGAGUGCUUGUUUUAAUUCGUAAUCUGUGAAUCUAAAUGUGGAAUCCAAUAAAUAGAAUAAGAGAACUAAUAGAAUUAGGACCCGUUUAGCAUGACUUUUGAAAAGUCAAAAUGAGCUUUAGACCCAAAAAUUGCUUUUGGACUCAUUUGACUAAUUUUAUUAAAAAAAAUUUGAUAGUUAAAAGAGUUUUUAAAGAAAGUUGGUUUAAUG
rnacentral:lncRNA from 1 species